CCUGCAAAACGAAUCUAAGUUCCCCCUUAACCCUCUUUUCCCUCCCCAGACAAACCCAACCCAAAUGUGAUAGUUAAGGGCUAUUUAAAGGGGGUACAGCCCCUUUAAAAAAGGACACAACCUCCACCAGCGGAUAACCCCUGUACGCCCAACCCCGUGGGCCUUAAAGCAGCCACCCCCAAAGAUUGCGUCAAAGCUCCAUCAACCAAAAACCCCCAAAACCAAUGCGACUCCCUACACCCACAGCAGGCCAACCUAUAACAAUAGAUGAAUCAAUGCUAGAACGAGUAACCAGGACACUAUGUCCCCCCAAGCGCCAGCCUGUAUACCAUNNNNNNUAAAACCUCAAUAAUAACCACCCCCACCAUUGAACCCACCCUGUCAACCCAACUCAGGGGCGCACACUGGAGUGAUCAAAAUCUACAAAAGGAACUCGGCAAACCUAAGACCCGACUGUUUACCAAAAACAUAGCCUUCAGCCAAACAAGUAUUGAAGGUGAUGCCUGCCCAGG
rnacentral:rRNA from 1 species